CAGAGAAGUAUAACGGCAAUAACACCACCUAUUUUGUUUUUCUCAAGUCUGCGUCUCUUUGAAUGAAGCUCUCUGCCUUUGGAAGGUCAAGCACUGCCAUCAGAAGAUUCCAGACUUCUCACUGGUGAUUAGGCAAUGAGUACCAUUUUUGCAGAGUCCUCCUACAACAACAGCAGCAACCUGUCUCGCCAGACUUCAUUCACUACACUCAGCUCGGGAGGUGUUGAGAGGACACAGCUGGGUGACGGGGGCCGGAAUUCCUGUGAGACCGUCUGGAUGUGGGUUGCAAUAGUAGCCACACUAAGCAAUCUGGUUGUGGUAGGAAUAGUGUGUGCAUGUACCUUCUGAAGAGACCUCAAGAAUGAGCAGGGUUUUUCCCCCAGGUCAGAGGAGGAUGAGGGAGUACCCACAUGUAGAGAAGAGCAGAGAUAUGCACAUCUCUGAAAGUGACAAGUUGAGAAUGUCUUUAUCUAGCGCAUCAAACUAGAGAGGAAUUUCUGGUUUAAGCUGGUGGGGAAAAACUAUUAAAGUAGAAAAUAUGGACAGACACCAGCAACCUCCCUCCCCAACACUACUGACUUGCUUUAUAUUUUAUUUGCGGUCAUGUUCCUGUAACCUUGCCUAGAAAUGUGUGAAUGUUCCCACUUGCUACCUUUUAAUCCAAAGGAUUUUGGUCUGAAACACUCCUAAAAACACACUGUAAUUGUUUUCCACCUUUUACAUUCCCUGUAUAAGGUUGCACUGGGCCAAAUACCAGGGCAGCUUUGUGUUUAGGCACAUGCCAGGACAGACAGAAAAUAGUUUGGCAUUACCUAGACACCUGCACAGCAGUACAGCUCCCACGCAGUAGGAGGCUAUUAGGGAUUCCUUGUUCACAUGAAUGUACCAAAAAGUUUUGAUUUGCUGUGAAUAUUAAAUUGAUACAAAAAACGUA